rnacentral:rRNA from 1 species
UACGUAGGGUGCAAGCGUUGUCCGGAAUUAUUGGGCGUAAAGAGCUCGUAGGCGGUCUGUCACGUCGGCUGUGAAAAACCCGAGGCUCAACCUCGGGCCUGCAGUCGAUACGGGCAAACUAGAGUACUGCAGGGGAGACUGGAAUUCCUGGUGUAGCGGUGAAAUGCGCAGAUAUCAGGAGGAACACCGAUGGCGAAGGCAGGUCACUGGGCCGCAACUGACGCUGAGGAGCGAAAGCAUGGGGAGCGAACAGG